AGUGAACGCUGGCGGUAGGCCUAACACAUGCAAGUCGAACGGCAGCACAGUAAGAGCUUGCUCUUACGGGUGGCGAGUGGCGGACGGGUGAGGAAUACAUCGGAAUCUACUUUUUCGUGGGGGAUAACGUAGGGAAACUUACGCUAAUACCGCAUACGACCUACGGGUGAAAGCAGGGGAUCUUCGGACCUUGCGCGAUUGAAUGAGCCGAUGUCGGAUUAGCUAGUUGGCGGGGUAAAGGCCCACCAAGGCGACGAUCCGUAGCUGGUCUGAGAGGAUGAUCAGCCGCACUGGAACGGAGACACGGUCCAGACUCCUACGGGAGGCAGCAGUGGGGAAUAUUGGACAAUGGGCGCAAGCCUGAUCCAGCCAUACCGCGUGGGUGAAGAAGGCCUUCGGGUUGUAAAGCCCUUUUGUUGGGAAAGAAAAGCAGCAGGUUAAUACCCCGCUGUUCUGACGGUACCCAAAGAAUAAGCACCGGCUAACUUCGUG
rnacentral:rRNA from 1 species